UGCCAGACUCCUACGGGAGGCAGCAGUGGGGAAUAUUGCACAAUGGGGGGAACCCUGAUGCAGCGACGCCGCGUGAAGGAUGAAGUAUUUCGGUACGUAAACUUCUAUCAGCAGGGAAGAAAAUGACGGUACCUGACUAAGAAGCCCCGGCUAACUACGUGCCAGCAGCCGCGGUAAUACGUAGGGGGCAAGCGUUAUCCGGAUUUACUGGGUGUAAAGGGAGCGUAGACGGCGAAGCAAGUCUGAAGUGAAAACCCAGGGCUCAACCCUGGGACUGCUUUGGAAACUGUUUUGCUAGAGUGUCGGAGAGGUAAGUGGAAUUCCUAGUGUAGCGGUGAAAUGCGUAGAUAUUAGGAGGAACACCAGUGGCGAAGGCGGCUUACUGGACGAUAACUGACGUUGAGGCUCGAAAGCGUGGGGAGCAAACAGGAUUAGAUACCCGAGUAAC
rnacentral:rRNA from 1 species